ACCAUGGCUCGGUCUCUGCUCUUGACCUUCUUCUUCCUAUGGUGUACAGGAGCCAAUUCACAGUAUACCUUGACUCAACCUGCCGCACAAACUUUCUCCUUGGGACAAUCAGCAAAGAUCUCAUGCACCAUGAGCCCAGACAUCCAGGUGGGCAGUCGCAGCGUACGUUGGUAUCAACAGAAGGCUGGAGAGAGCCCCAAACACCUGCUCUAUGAUACCGGCAGCAGUGGCCGGUUCACGGGAUCCAAGGACGCCUCUGCCAAUGCAGCCUAUUUAACCAUUACCAACCUCCAGGCUGAGGAUGAAGCUGAUUAUACUUGUGGUUUUGGUUACAGCACUGCGAGCAGCUGGAUGUCUCCACAGCGAUACAGCCUUUUGCAGAAGUGA